rnacentral:rRNA from 1 species
UACAGAGGGUGCGAGCGUUGUUCGGAAUUAUUGGGCGUAAAGAGCGCGUAGGCGGUCUGCUAAGUCUGGUGUGAAAGCCCUCGGCUUAACCGGGGAAGUGCAUUGGAUACUGGCAGGCUUGAGUGUGAGAGAGGAUCGUGGAAUUCCUGGUGUAGCGGUGAAAUGCGUAGAUAUCAGGAGGAACACCGGUGGCGAAGGCGGCGAUCUGGAUCAUAACUGACGCUGAGGCGCGAAAGCGUGGGUAGCAAACAGGAUUAGAAACCCCCGUAGUCC